rnacentral:rRNA from 1 species
GAUGAACGCUGGCGGCGUGCCUAAUACAUGCAAGUCGAGCGAACAGACGAGGAGUUUGCUCCUCUGAUGUUAGCGGUGGCCGGGUGAGUAACACGUGGUUAAUCUACCUUUAAGAAUGGACUACCUUCGGGAAACUGGAGCUAAUACCGGAUAAUAUAUUGAAUCGAAUAGUUCAACAGUUCAAGACGGUUUUGUUGACACUUCUAGAUUGAUUCGUGCCGUAUUAGCUAAUUGGUAAGGUAACGGCUUACCAAGGCAACGAUGCGUAGCCGACCUGAGAGGGUGAUCGGCCACACUGGAACUGAGACACGGUCCAGACUCCUACGGGAGGCAGCAGUAGGGAAUCUUCCGCAAUGGGCGAAAGCUUGACGGAGCAACGCCGCGUGAGUGAUGAAGGUCUUCGGAUCGGAAAACUCUGUUAUUAGGGAAGAACAAAUGUGUAAGUAACUAUGCACGUCUUGACGGUACCUAAUCAGAAAGCCACGGCUAACUACGUG